AGCUUUCCAUCCCGAAAUGAUCAAAGGGACAGGACUGGCAGAUUCCACAAUCUACAUGCUCGCCAAACAUGGGUCCCUAGAGGAUCUGGCCCUACUGCUGUUGUGAAUCCACCAUCAACCUUCAAUGCAAAUCCUAAUGGAAUUGGCAGUGGACACUCCGAUCAUACCUCUGCUCCACCCAAUCCUGGGCAUGGCAAUGCCACUAGGGGUCGCAAGCCUUGGCCUACUAAUCACAGGAGAGA
rnacentral:misc_RNA from 1 species